rnacentral:rRNA from 1 species
UGGUAGCCUCGCUGCCCGAGUUGUAAUCUGGAGAAGUGCUUUCCGUGCUGGACCGUGUACAAGUCUCUUGGAACAGAGCGUCAUAGAGGGUGAGAAUCCCGUCUUUGACACGGACUACCAGUGCUUUGUGAUGCGCUCUCAAAGAGUCGAGUUGUUUGGGAAUGCAGCUCAAAAUGGGUGGUAAAUUCCAUCUAAAGCUAAAUAUUGGCGAGAGACCGAUAGCGAACAAGUACCGUGAGGGAAAGAUGAAAAGAACUUUGGAAAGAGAGUUAAACAGUACGUGAAAUUGCUGAAAGGGAAACGCUUGAAGUCAGUCGCGUUGGCCGGAACUCAGCCUGGCUUUCGCUUGGUGCAUUUUCUGGUCGACGGGUCAGCAUCAGUUUUGAUCGUCGGAUAAUGGUGGGGGGGAAUGUGGCAUCUUCGGAUGUGUUAUAGCCCUCAGUCGCAUACGAUGGUUGGGACUGAGGAUCUCAGCACACCUCUAUGGUCGGGGUUCGCCCACGUUUGUGCUUAGGAUGCUGGCAUAAUGGCUUUAAACGACCCGUCUUGAAACACGGACCAAGGAGUCUAACAUGCAUGCGAGUGUUUGGGUGGAAAACCCGAGCGCGCAAUGAAAGUGAAAGUUGAGAUCCCUGUCGUGGGGAGCAUCGACGCCCGGACCAGACCUUCUGUGACGGCUCUGCGGUGGAGCAUGUAUGUUGGGACCCGAAAGAUGGUGAACUAUGCCUGAAUAGGGUGAAGCCAGAGGAAACUCUGGUGGAGGCUCGUAGCGAUUCUGACGUGCAAAUCGAUCGUCAAAUUUGGGUAUAGGGGCGAAAGACUAAUCGAACCAUCUAGUAGCUGGUCCUGC